rnacentral:lncRNA from 1 species
GGCCUCUCUCCCACCACGGCCUCUCUCCCACUGCUCCGUGGGCGCCGGUGUUUUCUCCUCCCGGGCUGCAGCACCCCACGCCGCGCUCUUCACGAGCUCCCGUCAUGGAAACACCUCCGCGUCCCCCAGUUCACUCCCUGCUCACUCCUGAAACCUUUCCUCCCUGUAUCUCCCCAGGGAGCCCACGGGGUUUCCUUGGCUUCAGCGCCUGGUGGAGGCCUCAGCUCUUCAGCUGCCCAGGGCUGCUGUGCACCAGGCCGCCACGGCGCCCUGCUCACCAGAGAACAUACUGCCAUUAGGAGAGACCUCACCCCACUCAGGAGAAGCCACGAGCCGCUCACCAGAGGCCUCACCCCACUCACCAGAGACCUCAUCCAGUUCACCAGAGGCCAUCCGCACCCUUUCAAGAGAGGUCGCAGCUGCCAGCGUCCACGCUGAGGGUUGGUGUUUCUUCCCUCUCUCUAUCAGAGUUGCUUCACGGAAGGCCCAUCAUCUUCAGCUGAAAUGCCAUACUCAAAGAAGACUUUCCACAAGAGCAUGAAGAAACAUCUAAAAAAGAAUGGCAGCACUCAGACCGUGUGUUUCAAGGUCCACGCCAACACAGGUUAAUGAACCCUAGAAUUACAUAAUAAAA